GCGCGCACCAAGGCUAAGGCCGAUCGUCACCGGUCGAAGCCUCCGGUAUACGUCGUUGGCCAAUGGAGUGUGGCUUUCUACUAAGAACAUUCCACUCCGAUCCGUUUCGAACAAGCUUGCCCCCAAAUUUAUCGGCCCGUUCAAAGUCACCAGGAUCAUUAGUCCGGUGGCGGUCCGGCUCAAGCUUCCUCCGACGUAUAGGAGAAUUCAUCCUACCUUUCAUGUGUCUAAGAUAAAACCUGUGUUUCAGGCACGCAUUAACCCGCCGGUCCCGGUUCCCCCGUCGCCACAACUUGUUGAUGGGGAAACCACCUUUUCUGUCAAUCGUAUUUUGGACUCUAGAAGGAGGGGACGCGGAUUCCAGUACCUGGUGGACUGGGAGGGUUACGGCCCGGAGGAGAGAAGUUGGGUGCCUGCUAGGGACAUUCUGGAUCACUCCCUUAUCGAUGAUUUCAAUCGACAGAUCGUUGUUUCUUCCCUGAGGUUGUGUCGUGUGUCCGUGCUCUUCUCUUGUGUGGAUUAUCUGCUGUGCUCCUUCCUACUCAUCCGGACACACUCCCCUGGUUUUCUCAGCACGUUAUCAUCGGAAGAUGCGCCCGAGUCCCUGGGUCGGAUUCCGUCUGAGUACAGUCUGUCUGUCCUGUUGCUGCUGUGAACUAUAUUCAUUAAACCAUCGUUGCUUGCAUCUUG